UACGGAGGAUCCAAGCGUUAUCCGGAAUCAUUGGGUUUAAAGGGUCCGUAGGCGGUCUUAUAAGUCAGUGGUGAAAUCUCCCCGCUCAACGGGGAAACGGCCAUUGAUACUGUAGGACUUGAAUUAUUAGGAAGUAACUAGAAUCUGUAGUGUAGCGGUGAAAUGCUUAGAGAUUACAUGGAAUACCAAUUGCGAAGGCAGGUUACUACUAAUGGAUUGACGCUGAUGGACGAAAGCGUGGGUAGCGAACAGG
rnacentral:rRNA from 1 species